CCGACCAUAGCUCAGUUGGUAGAGCGGAGGACUGUAGUGGGCAAAGCCUUUCAGCUAAUCCUUAGGUCACUGGUUCGAAUCCGGUUGGUCGGA
rfam:Solanum lycopersicum cultivar Heinz 1706 chromosome 7, whole genome shotgun sequence.